GCAAAGAAAAGUCAGGCUACCAUAUCUGUAACUGUGCUCCUGGAUUUACAGGUAAACGCUGUGAGCAUUGCCUCGACUUGUCCUGCAACAACAAAGGAGUGUGCUACAAAGACAAAGACACUGGCAAGUCAAAGUGUGAAUGUCUUAAAGGCCUUGAGAGCAGCACCAAUUGUGCCACGGCAGUCAACUGUACCACUGUAUGUCAGCUGGGAAACAAUAUUUUCCCAGAAGUGUGUGAUUGUAACUGUCCACCUCCAUACUAUCUGUGCAAGUCGUGUGAUCGCCAGUGUGGAGAAAACUACAAGUGUAAUCUGGAUAUAGACAAACGACCAACAUGUGUCUGUGAUGAUAUCCAUGAAGGUGUCAACUGUGAGCUUUGUAAGUGUCAGCCAACUGGUCAGUGUAGUCGAGAUCAAAAGAAACAACCAGUUUGCAAGUUAGUACCGUUAUAUAUAUG
rnacentral:sRNA from 1 species